AGUGGGCCUCAACUGGGUAAGUCAAGUUUUUGCACCUAAUGGUGCUACGAUGCUCUGAGAUACGUACUUUUAAUUCACGCUUUGUUUUACCCACAUCAUUUUUACCACAAGGACAAGUUCUAAGAUAAAUAACUGCCUUAGUGGAGCACGUAAUAACACCUUUGAUUGGGAUCGAUUUCCCUGUUUGUGGGUGUUUGAAGGAUCUACAUUUAUAAGUGGCAUUGCAUUGAGCACAGCCAUUACACUUGUAAUUUCCAUCCAGUAGGGGCGCAAAUAGACGUUGUUCAGGAAUAUCUUGGGGUGGUAAACCUUCUAGAACCUUCCAUCUCUCACAGACUGGAAACCCCUAAGGGAUGAUGAAGAGUCAAUGAAGGAAACAACAACAUACUUCACAAAGAUGGAGUGAAGGGCUUGAUGGGGAGAGGGGUAGAGAGCGGUCCGUUGGGGGAGAGUGAUGAAGGGAGAAAGAAGAGUGGUGUGUGCCAGUAUAUUAUUGUUUUUUAUUAAACCUUUUAAAAACAGUUUAACUAUUUAAUGGGGACAAUGUACAGUAAACCUAAACAUAAUCACCAAGUCACAGUCAACCAGUCAUUUAAAAAUGGCAAUUACCAUAUAUUAGGCAUAUGAUGAGUUACUGAACAACACAGGCCUGACCUCUCGGUUCAUUUGAAAUGACUGGUUAAUGGCAACGAUUCUGAUCGCUGCAAGAGUCUGGGCCCAUAAGAGCCUGUAAGAACAUACAUAUUAGUACCGCCUGGGUUUUAGAUGCCUCCUGACUGUGUCAGUUCACAUUUAGCAAGAAGAGACAGGAUGUCCUAGUUAUUGCCUGCCACAUUUCCACUGACGGAUUGAUGAGUGUUGAAUACCUCUCUGAGCAGAAACACAAUCUCCAGGACAGAUGGAUGCACUGACUCUGUUCACAUUGGUUCCAUUAAGCCUCCCCCUAAACGUACGACAGUCGUCGUCGCUGUGGCGCGUAAACUGAACCAUAUGGACAGUGUUUACUGUGAGCGCGCGGUCAAGACUCCACCGGGAUUGAUUGACAGUUCCUGUGGGAGUGGUGAAUGCAAUCUUUGCAAGAGCUUUUCUCUGAGCUCCACCGGGGUAGGGACAGGGGUGGUCCCCGGGUCAGGAGUGUGGUGCGGCAGAUGCUGCUGUUCGAGUCCUGAUGGCCGAACAUGUGGAACAGCCUCCGGCAGCACGGCAGACCGUGGACCAUGUCAGAGGAGGUGGCCACUGAAGAUCAUGUAGAUCCACGGGUUACAGCAGCUAUUCAGACUGGCCAGCAGAGCCGAGAUGGUGACUGUGGUGUUUUCAGAGUCUGGAGAGAGAGAAACAGGGAAUAGGUGUCGGCCAGUCAGUGAAGGAGAAAACAUUCAAGCUUGUUCUGUUUAUCUACUAGCAGUGACGCACACUAUUUAUGCGUAUUCUCGAGGGAGUCUCAGCAAGCCACUAGGUCUGAAGGGUCACUGACUCGCCAGCAAAAUAUUUAAUUAACAUUUGGAGUUCUCCAGGAGAGAUCAGAGUCAGUGCAUCCAUCUCUCCUGGAAUAAGUCAAGGGGUCUGAAUACUUUCCGAAGGCACUGUAGUUUUUAACCAU
rnacentral:lncRNA from 1 species